UACGUAGGGUGCAAGCGUUGUCCGGAAUUAUUGGGCGUAAAGAGCUCGUAGGCGGUUUGUCGCGUCGAAUGUGAAAACCCGGGGCUCAACCCCGGGCCUGCAUUCGAUACGGGCAGACUAGAGUUCGGUAGGGGAGUCUGGAAUUCCUGGUGUAGGGGUGAAAUGCGCAGAUAUCAGGAGGAACACCGGUGGCGAAGGCGGGACUCUGGGCCGAUACUGACGCUGAGGCACGAAAGCGUGGGGAGCAAACAGG
rnacentral:rRNA from 1 species